AGCGAACGCUAGCGGCAGGCUUAACACAUGCAAGUCGAGCGCCAGGUUUCGGCCUGGAGCGGCGAACGGGUGAGUAACACGUAGGUCACGUACCCUAUGGUGGGGAAUACCCCGGGGAAACUCGGAUCAAUGCCCCAUAUGUCCGAAAGGAUGAAAGCGCUUCGGCGCGCCAGAGGAUCGGCCUGCGGCCCAUUAUUUAAUCCUAGUUGGUGAGGUAACGGCUCACCAAGGGUACGAUGGGUAGCUGGUCUGAGAGGACGAUCAGCCACACUGGAACUGAGACACGGUCCAGACUCCUACGGGAGGCAGCAGUGGGGAAUAUUGGACAAUGGGCGAAAGCCUGAUCCAGCCAUGCCGCGUGAGUGAUGAAGGCCUUCGGGUUGUAAAGCUCUGUCGUGGGGGAAGAAGUUCUGACGGUACCCCACAAGAAAGCACCGGCUAACUCCGUGCCAGCAGCCGCAGUAAGAC
rnacentral:rRNA from 1 species